UACGGAGGGGGCUAGCGUUGUUCGGAAUUACUGGGCGUAAAGCGCACGUAGGCGGACUGUUAAGUCGGGGGUGAAAUCCUGGGGCUCAACCUCAGAAUUGCCUCCGAUACUGGCAGUCUCGAGUGCAGGAGAGGUGAGUGGAAUUCCCAGUGUAGAGGUGAAAUUCGUAGAUAUUGGGAAGAACACCAGUGGCGAAGGCGGCUCACUGGGACGUUACUGACGCUGAGACGCGAAAGCGUGGGGAGCAAACAGG
rnacentral:rRNA from 1 species